CCCAUCUUCUGUUGAGCUUCAAUUGGUGGACAGAUGGCCUUAAGUGUUCCUGCAAAGUGUCUUGAUAAACAUGGGAAUUCAUUUUUCCGUCGAUGAUGGCAAUCUGUCCAGUCCCUGAUGCAGCAAAGCAGCCCCAAACCAUGAUGCCCCCUCCACCAUACUUCACAGUUGGGAUGAGGUUUUGAUGUUGGUGUGCUGUGCCUUUCUUUCUCCACACAUAGUGUUGUGUGUUCCUUCCAAACAGCUCAACUUUGGUUUCAUCUGUCUACAGGAUGUUUUGCCAGUAGUGCUGUGGAACAUCCAGGUGCUCUUUUGCAAACUUCAAACGUGCAGCAAUGUUUUUUUUGGACAGCAGUGGCUUUCUCCGUGGUGUCCUCACCAUGAACUCCAUUCUUGUUUAGUGUUUUACGUAUCGUAGAUUCGUCAACAGAGAUGUUAGCAUGUGCCAGAAAUUUGUGUAAGUCUUUAGCUGACACUCUAGGAUUCUUCUUCACCUCAUUGAGCAUUCUGCGCUGUGCUCUUGCAAGCUCUUUUGUGCGAGGCAUGGUUCACAUCAGGCAAUGCUUCUUGAGAGUAGCAAACUCAAAACUGGAGUGUGUUUUUUAUAGGGCAGGGCAGCUUCAACCAACACCUCCAAUCUCAUCUCAUUGAUUGGACUCCAGGUUGGCUGACUCUUGACUCCAAUUAGCUCUUGGAGAAGUCAUUAGCCUAGGGGUUCACAUACUUUUUCCACCCUGCACUGUGAAUGUUUACAUGUUGUGUUCAACAAAAACAUGAAAACAUAUAAUUGUUUGUGUGGUAUUAGUUUAAGCAGACUGUGUUUGUCUAUUGUUGAGACUUAGAUGAAGAUCAGAACACAUUUUAUGACCAAUUUAAUCAGAAAACUAGGAAAUUCCAAAGGGUUCACAUACUUUUUCCUGCAACUGUAUUUGCUGAUCUGGUCCUUCUGGUAGAAAAAAUCUCAUCCUGCUUUCUCGUAACUGUAACCGCUAAACUCUGCAGAAGAAAAUGUAAACAAAGCCUGUAUCAGCAGUGUGCUGUGAAUGCCUUUAUCUUGACACUGGCCUGGUGACAAAGGUGACAGGCAUUGGAAAUACUUGCAUAGAAUUUGUCAAUCUUCUUGCUGGUUCCCCGGUUGCUAUGUAUUAAUUUUAAUCUGUUACAUAGUCAGUUACAAACUCUUUAAAUCAGCUUUAAACCAAACCAAAAAAAUGUGACAUAAAAAUUGUCAAGGGGAAUCAGUAUAUAAAAUAUCCAAAAGCUACUAACCCAACUUACAUAAAGGAUACUAAAAAGGAAGUAAAACCUAAAGUUCCUGCCUCCAACCCCCCCCAAAAAAUGUAACCGCACCCUUGCACCUCUAGCUGAUACAGAAAUACAAAGUUGAAUGUUGUGUGCCUGAUUAAAACUAACCCUGGCCAUGUCCCAGCUAGGUCACCAGUACCUCAGCCUAAUUCAGAAACUGUUGGACUGACAAACUAAUAGUUGUGCUCAAAAACUACAGCAUUAAAACCAUAGAUACAUACACACUAUCAAUACCAGAGUCACCACAACUGUGGAGCUAGCCUUCUUGAAGAGAUUGUGUCCUUUUGAUUGGUUGGGUUGAUACAUUGCCACAACAAUCAGAAGCAUUGAUCUGGCAGCUACUGGUGGGCGUGCCCUGACCUGGAGGGACACAUAAGCUUGUCCUAAUUUAAGAGCUGCAUCCUUUUGAGUGUGCAUUUGAAGGCCGAUUAGGUCACAGCGAUGCAUUGAAGGCUGUCCAAUUUCGAAGCCUCCUUCAUAUGCAGUCUGCAAAUUCGUCCUUUCCCCCCCUUGGCCAACAAAGGAUCACAAAGGCUUGUUUAUUUUGAACAUAUUCCAGUGUUUAAAGUUUAGAAAUUAAGAACAAUGGCCUGGUCUUCAUAAUUCUACAUGUGGAUGAAUUGUUUGGUGAUAAUAAUCGAGCUAUUUUCUAUCAGUUAGUUCCAGUGCAGCUUCUGAGGUUGCUAGGCGACAGGGGCGGCACGUAGAAAUGACAGGUUAAGGGUGGGGGCAGCUGGUGACCCAAACGGGAACUCCGACCGAACUAUUUAAGUUCGGUCUGAGUGGUCUAUGCAGCCUUUGAAGGUUGGGUCCUUCAUAGGCUGCUUCCUUCUAAGGAUGCUACACCAUCCUGUCAAUAAAAGCACAGGCAAAAAAAAAAGAAAAAAGAUUACAUUUAAAAUUGAUAGAAAGAGUAAGUGGAUCAGAAAUGUUUGUGUUUGCAUUUUCUGAAUUCAAACUUGACAGUAAUGUGACUUCGACUGUCAAAGAUCUUUCCAGAAAUCUGGACUGAAUGUCUUUUAGAGUAACUACUGAGAGUCUGAUCCAUAGGGAGCAGUGAGUGGGUGUACGAGGAAGUGUUUUGAAGUAUAGCCUCAGAAAAGGGGAAUUUCCAUACUGCUUUCAGAAAUCAAAAAAUGCCUACAGGAAAAUAAAAAAUAAAUAAA